GAAAAGAACCCCGGAGAGGGGAGUGAAAUAGAUCCUGAAACCGUGUGCGUACAAGCAGUAGGAGCUCGCAAGAGUGACUGCGUACCUUUUGUAUAAUGGGUCAGCGACUUACUGUUCGUGGCAAGCUUAACCGUAUAGGGGAGGCGAAGGGAAACCGAGUCUGAUAAGGGCGCAUAGUCGCGGGCAGUAGACCCGAAACCGGGUGAUCUAGUCAUGGCCAGGGUGAAGGUGCCGUAACAGGUACUGGAGGCCCGAACCCACGUCUGUUGCAAAAGACGGGGAUGAGCUGUGAUUAGGAGUGAAAAGCUAAUCGAACCCGGAGAUAGCUGGUUCUCCUCGAAAGCUAUUUAGGUAGCGCCUCAUAUGUAUCCUCUCGGGGGUAGAGCACUGUUAUGGCUAGGGGGUCAUCGCGACUUACCAAACCAUUGCAAACUCCGAAUACCGAGACGGACUGUAUGGGAGACACACGGCGGGUGCUAACGUCCGUCGUGAAAAGGGAAACAACCCAGACCCACAGCUAAGGUCCCAAAUUCACUGCUAAGUGGAAAACGAUGUGGAAAGGCAUAGACAGCCAGGAGGUUGGCUUAGAAGCAGCCACCCUUUAAAGAAAGCGUAAUAGCUCACUGGUCGAGUCGGUCUGCGCGGAAGAUUUAACGGGGCUAAGCAGUGAACCGAAGCUUGGGGUGCAUAAAACUUGUUUUAUGCGCGGUAGAGGAGCGUUCCGUAAGCCUGCGAAGGUGGAUUGAGAAGUCUGCUGGAGGUAUCGGAAGUGCGAAUGCUGACAUGAGUAACGAUAAUGCGGGUGAAAAGCCCGCACGCCGAAAGCCCAAGGUUUCCUUGCGCAACGUUAAUCGACGCAGGGUUAGUCGGUCCCUAAGGCGAGGGCGAAAGCCGUAGUCGAUGGGAAGCAGGUUAAUAUUCCUGCACCUCGCGUGAGUGCGAUGGAGGGACGGAGAAGGUUAGGUGUACCGGGCGUUGGUUGUCCCGGGGAAAGGCGGUAGGUUUGGAUCUUUNNNNGGCAANAUCCGGNNGAUCCUUUAAGANNCCGAGCACCGAGACGAGCCUUUAUGGCGAAGUCACUGAUACCACGCUUCCAGGAAAAGCUCCUAAGCUUCAGCUCACGAAGACCGUACCGUAAACCGACACAGGUGGGUAGGAUGAGAAUUCUCAGGCGCUUGAGAGAACUCGGGUGAAGGAACUAGGCAACAUGGCACCGUAACUUCGGGAGAAGGUGCACCCUUUUUGGUGGCUCGUGCGAGCUAUAGCUGAAGAGGGUCGCAGAAACCAGGCCGCUGCGACUGUUUAUCAAAAACACAGCACUCUGCAAACACGAAAGUGGACGUAUAGGGUGUGACGCCUGCCCGGUGCUGGAAGGUUAAUUGAUGGGGUCAGCCGCAAGGCGAAGCUCUUGAUCGAAGCCCCAGUAAACGGCGGCCGUAACUAUAACGGUCCUAAGGUAGCGAAAUUCCUUGUCGGGUAAGUUCCGACCUGCACGAAUGGCGUAACGACAGCGGCGCUGUCUCCACCCGAGACUCAGUGAAAUUGAAAUCGCUGUGAAGAUGCAGCGUUCCCGUGGCAAGACGGAAAGACCCCGUGAACCUUUACUAUAGCUUUACACUGAACGUUGAGUUCGUCUGUGUAGGAUAGGUGGGAGGCUAUGAAACUGUGGCGCUAGCUGCAGUGGAGCCAUCCUUGAAAUACCACCCUGUCGUGCUUGACGUUCUAACCUAGGUCCGUUAUCCGGAUCAGGGACCGUGUAUGGUGGGUAGUUUGACUGGGGCGGUCUCCUCCUAAAGAGUAACGGAGGAGCACGAAGGUACGCUCAGCGCGGUCGGACAUCGCGCACUGUGUGCAAAGGCAUAAGCGUGCUUGACUGCAAGAUCGACGGAUCAAGCAGGUACGAAAGUAGGUCUUAGUGAUCCGGUGGUUCUGUAUGGAAGGGCCAUCGCUCAACGGAUAAAAGGUACUCCGGGGAUAACAGGCUGAUACCGCCCAAGAGUUCAUAUCGACGGCGGUGUUUGGCACCUCGAUGUCGGCUCAUCACAUCCUGGGGCUGUAGUCGGUCCCAAGGGUAUGGCUGUUCGCCAUUUAAAGUGGUACGCGAGCUGGGUUCAGAACGUCGUGAGACAGUUCGGUCCCUAUCUGCCAUGGGCGUUGGAAGUUUGAGAGGGGCUGCUCCUAGUACGAGAGGACCGGAGUGGACGAACCUCUGGUGUUCCGGUUGUCACGCCAGUGGCAUUGCCGGGUAGCUAUGUUCGGAAGCGAUAACCGCUGAAAGCAUCUAAGCGGGAAGCGCGCCUCAAGAUGAGACUUCCCGGGGCACAAGCCCCCUAAAGGAACCAUGUAGACUACGUGGUUGAUAGGUCAGGUGUGUAAGUACAGCAAUGUAUUGAGCUAACUGAUACUAAUGAUCCGUGCGGCUUGACC
rnacentral:rRNA from 1 species